rnacentral:rRNA from 1 species
UACGUAGGGGGCAAGCGUUGUCCGGAAUCAUUGGGCGUAAAGAGCGUGUAGGCGGUCCGAUAAGUCCGCUCUGAAAGCCCGGGGCUCAACCCCGGGAGGCGGGCGGAUACUGUCGGGCUAGAGUCCGGAAGAGGCAAGUGGAAUUCCUGGUGUAGCGGUGAAAUGCGCAGAUAUCAGGAGGAACACCGAUGGCGAAGGCAGCUUGCUGGGACGGUACUGACGCUGAGGCGCGAAAGCGUGGGGAGCAAACAGG